UAGGCGUUUCCUGUACUUACCCAUGACCGCUCCAUCCAGGUUUAUAUAGGUGCAAACACGUUUGUCAAUAGAGGACAUAUAACCCUAAAAACAAACACAGGCAUAUUACAGAACAUUAUUAGAACAGAGAGAGAUUU